AAGAAGAGUAAUCUCAGGUCUGAAACCAUAGCUCACCCAAAGUCUCAGAUGUUAGACAAAUAAUGUCAUUGUAAAAUAUAUCAGUUUCAACUAAAGAAUCAUAACUUGGUAUGCAUGAACUGAGAAUGUGACACAGUCCUUUCCCUCGGGAACUCACAGGCUGGUAGAAGACACAGGUUUGAGACAAUGAUAAUUUAUAUUCUGAAUCUCUACUGCCUUGCAACAAACUCAACUUGAUGUUUUCAAAUGCAGCGGUAUUUCUGAAAAGAUCUAAAACACGAAAAAUGUUAUGUACCUCCUUUAUUUAUAUGACAAGUUGGUUUUCACCCAUCAGCUUUUGGCUAAAUUCACCAUUCAAAACUUUACAGGUCAGAAGGGAGUGGCAUG